GCGUGCUGAUGACUCCUUAGGACACCUUUGGAUUCCCCAUGAAAGCAACCUUGACGGCUGAGCGCC